rnacentral:misc_RNA from 1 species
CAACCAAUCCCCUCGGGGGUAUUGGACCCUGCCGGCGACGGCCGGUCCUAAACCCAGUGGCGGCAUCGCACGCACUCGAGCGUAGUAGCUUUAUCUCGCUUGGAGGCGCGUGCGAUCUUGACCAGCAAACCUCACAUACGUGUUUAUA